UUGAUUAAAAAUGAAGUCUUUCAGUGUUUCCAGUGUUCUGUCUGUAUGAUUAAAUCUAGCCAUAGGUUUAGCACCUUGGAAAAGGAGGAUAUUGGGUACAGCUACAGUUCCAAACCGAGUUGAUAAGCUGCUAUGUUGUGAUGCAUCCAGUGCCAGGAAGCGAAGAGUGGGAAACGCUCGAGGCAAAGAAUUGAAAUGAGGUGCCAGGCUUACGGAAAAGCGGCACCACGGCGUAUAGAAUAGGACCAACGUACAGUCACUGCUGUUUGGGUUUAAGAACUCCAUCAGAUCCUGGGACACGUUCAGGAUCUGCAGCGUGAAGUUGCUGAUACCAGUAACGUUCCUCUCCUCGCAGCUCACCUUGGGUGCCUUCACGCUCUCGGCAGUGCCGUUGGGCUCCUCGCCCGCGGGCAGCACGGUCUCCAGCACGACGGCCUCUCCGGGCGGGGCGGGAGGAGCCGCGGGCCCGCUCCCAGCGCCGCACUCCUCUCCGCCGGCCGCCGCCUCGCAAGCCGCCGCCGCCCGCCCUUCUUUCGCCUCUCCCGGCACCGCCGAGAGCACCACGGGCGGCUGGCCCGGCGGUCCGCUGCCCAGCAUCGCGUCAGCCAUCUCCGCCGUCCGGUACCGCACCGCUUCGCCGCUGAUCGGCGCGGAACUGCCGGCGCCCGUCUCCGUUACCACCCCCUCCGGGAGGGCCCGGCCGAGCCCGGCCAGCAGCAGCAGCCACCACAUUCCCACCACAGCGCUGCGUCUCCCCGGACAACGGCCACUUCCGCCGGAACUUCUCAGGCGCUUCCGCUUCCGGUGCAGUGCGUGCAUACGUUGGGAACGGAGGGCGGCGCGCCGCCAUCUUCGCGUUCUCAGGCGGGGUGUGACGCGGUUUGGUCGCAGCGUGUGUGCGCGCUGCGGAACGGGCAGAGGACGCCUCAGGGGCUGCUGCUGGAGCUCAGAUACCACUGCAGGGCACUGAGAAAUGAAUCCGUUAAAAAUCACCACCGAGCCCAGUCACUGCCGAGUAUAAUUUGCACGAGAAUUAAUACUGAAGGUGCAGUGACCUAAAGAUAUAAAACACGAGUUAAGUUUGCAUAGAGAACACAGCAUUCCAGUUGGUAGAAGAAAACAAGCGAGCACAAAACACACACAGAGAAUCCAAGAGGCUGUGGGGAAAACGCGCCCUCCAUUCCCAACUGCAGCCAGAGCUGGUAUUCUGAACUUCAAACCUGCCUUUUUUCCUCCACAGCUGUUCAGUGGCUCAUGUUUUCCUGCCUUCAAAUGCCAAAUGCUUUUAGGAAAAACAUCUAGGUAAAAAAACACCACCACCACCCCACCAACACCAGAGUGAUGGAUCUGCUGAGUUGAUGGGACCCAUAAGGAGUACCGAGUCCAAGUCCCGGCUCCACACAGUUGACCAUCUAUUCAAAAAUCAACGAUAUGUUAGAAAAGCUGUCUGUUGGAAAGAGGAGGACCUGUGUAAUAUGAGUGUGCUGCACCCAUGGAUGAACACUAAAACGGCAGCCAUUUGUGCACCGUGGACUUCAGAGCUGCAGCUUUCGGUCACAGUGGGCAAGCUCCUUCCCUGGCGAUGUAAGGAGUGAAAGACAACAGAGUGGCACAGGGACAACGCCAAGGUCUUCACGUUUCCAUUCACUCAUAAAUCCUCACACGGCUGAUUUUCUGUGUAUUCAACAGCGCCGUGAGAAGAAAACAAAAUAAGCAUUGAAGUCACAACAGAGACUGAGGUCACACAGGCAGUUCUACCUCACACUAAAUAUGGGAGGUGUGACUUUGCAUUCUGUUCUCUCAAGAUGGCCAGAGCUGAAUAUUGACAAAGAUGAUCAGCAAAGAACUUUUUAGUAUCAUGCGUAUCUCAGAAGCCUACUCUGAAUAAUCAAACUCACACUAAUUGCUACUGUGAUAUUUUCUCACUAAUUGGAAACAAGUUUUUGUGGUAUGAAGAACACAACAUGAAAGGCAGGAUGAUUUAUCUGCCUCAGAUCAUUUAAAUACCACCUGACAACUCCACACAUCUUGCAGCUUCAAAGUAGAUAAAAGUUGUUUGCUAAUGACUCCUUCCAGGAACCCUGCAAGAUAAGCAGAUAUUUUUUGCCACGUUUUCACUGGUGGGAAGAAGUGAGCCAUUGCCAUCCUUAGGCCAUGCGGGGAACCUGGGAGCAAGCCAGCUGCAGAGCACUGUAGUUUUGGGCUGCCAAUCCUGUAUGGUCAGGCCACACCUCUCCCCUACAUGUUAAGCAAUACACAGAGCCCCAGGCAGAACCCUGUAAGAACAGCGCACAGUGCAAGUCAGCAAGGCAGCCCCUUAUGUUUAGGAAUUACAUGAUUAACUGUUAAGGACAAUUUUCAUUUCUCUUGGUCCAAAAAGACACUUUGUUGAGCCAUCAUACUGAAUAGCACGGCGCCGGUAGACUACAGUCAGAUCUAAAUAAAGCAGAAUGAGGAAAUGCCCAGCAGGACCCUGCUGGUCUCCCUGCUACAUCCCAGGUGCCACGCAGCCCUUUACAGACUCUCCGAACACUCUUCUACUUUAUGCUCCUCGUUUCACAAUUGACAACAUUAAUUGUUGUUGUUUUUUUUUUUUUUUUUUAAACUGGGAUUCUAUUUCAUUUGAUAUAAUUAAUAAACACUGUAAUGAACAGAAAUUGCUUAGAUGAUUUCAUUAUUUCAUCAGCAUACUCGAUUAAGAUUCAUUAUACUAGCAGAACAGUGAUACAGCUGCAUUAUCUCCUGACACACAGCA
rnacentral:lncRNA from 1 species